rnacentral:rRNA from 1 species
GACGAACGCUGGCGGCGUGCUUGAUACAUGCAAGUCAAGGAGAACAUUAUCUUCGGAUAAUAAGUAAACUGGCGAACGGGUGAGUAACGCGUAAACAACUUGCCUCAGAGAUUGGGACAACAUUGGGAAACCAGUGCUAAUACCAAAUAAUGCAGCGGGCUCUUCGGAGCACAGUUGUUAAAGUAGGCUUCGGCUUACACUUUGAGAUAGGUUUGCGUCCGAUUAGUUAGUUGGUAGGGUAAAAGCCUACCAAGACCAAGAUCGGUAGCUGGUCUGAGAGGAUGAUCAGCCACACUGGAAUUGAGAUACGGUCCAGACUCCUACGGGAGGCAGCAGUAAGGAAUUUUGCACAAUGGGCGAAAGCCUGAUGCAGCAACGCCGCGUGAACGAUGAAGUUUUUAGGAAUGUAAAGUUCUGUCGUAUGGGAAGAGAUCUUUCGAAUGUUAAUACCAUUCGUUAAUGACGGUACCAUACAAGAAAGCACCGGCUAACUUCGUG